UCUGUAGGUGAACCUGCAGAUGGAUCAUCG
rnacentral:rRNA from 1 species